rnacentral:rRNA from 1 species
UGGGGAAUUUUGGACAAUGGGCGAAAGCCUGAUCCAGCAAUGCCGCGUGUGUGAAGAAGGCCUUCGGGUUGUAAAGCACUUUUGUCCGGAAAGAAAUCCUUGGCUCUAAUACAGUCGGGGGAUGACGGUACCUGAAGAAUAAGCACCGGCUAACUACGUGCCAGCAGCCGCGGUAAUACGUAGGGUGCAAGCGUUAAUCGGAAUUACUGGGCGUAAAGCGUGCGCAGGCGGUUUGCUAAGACCGAUGUGAAAUCCCCGGGCUCAACCUGGGAACUGCAUUGGUGACUGGCAGGCUAGAGUAUGGCAGAGGGGGGUAGAAUUCCACGUGUAGCAGUGAAAUGCGUAGAGAUGUGGAGGAAUACCGAUGGCGAAGGCAGCCCCCUGGGCCAAUACUGACGCUCAUGCACGAAAGCGUGGGGAGCAAACAGGAUUAGAUACCCUGGUAGUCCACGCCCUAAACGAUGUCAACUAGUUGUUGGGGAUUCAUUUCCUUAGUAACGUAGCUAACGCGUGAAGUUGACCGCCUGGGGAGUACGGUCGCAAGAUUAAAACUCAAAGGAAUUGACGGGGUCAUAGCUGUUUCCU